rnacentral:rRNA from 1 species
UACAGAGGUUGCAAGCGUUGUUCGGAAUUACUGGGCGUAAAGGGCGCGUAGGCGGCCUUCUAAGUCAGACGUGAAAUCCCCCGGCUUAACCUGGGAACUGCGUCUGAUACUGGAGGGCUUGAGUGCGGGAGAGGGAUGUGGAAUUCCAGGUGUAGCGGUGAAAUGCGUAGACAUCUGGAGGAACACCGGUGGCGAAGGCGGCAUCCUGGACCGACACUGACGCUGAGGCGCGAAAGCUAGGGUAGCAAACGGG